ACUCCUACGGGAGGCAGCAGUGGGGAAUAUUGCACAAUGGGGGAAACCCUGAUGCAACCAUGCCGCGUGUGUGAAGAAGGCCUUCGGUUGUAAAGCACUUUCAGUAGGGAGGAAGGUAGUGUAGUUAACACCUGCAUUAUUUGACGUUACCUACAGAAGAAGCACCGGCUAACUCCGUGCCAGCAGCCGCGGUAAUACGGAGGGUGCGAGCGUUAAUCGGAAUUACUGGGCGUAAAGCGCAUGCAGGCGGCCUGUUAAGUCAGAUGUGAAAGCCCGGGGCUUAACCUCGGAAUUGCAUUUGAAACUGGCAGGCUAGAGUCUUGUAGAGGGGUAGAAUUUCAGGUGUAGCGGUGAAAUGCGUAGAGAUCUGAAGGAAUACCAGUGGCGAAGGCGGCCCCCUGGACAAAGACUGACGCUCAGAUGCGAAAGCGUGGGAGCAAACAGGAUUAGAUACCCCGUGGUAGACUGUC
rnacentral:rRNA from 1 species